GACGGGUGAGGAUCCCGUCCGCUGGAUGACCAAGGGUUCCGGGGCCACGUUCGUCGUCCCCGGGUGAGUCGGGUCCUAAGGCGAGGCCGACAGGCGUAGUCGAAUGGAUGAACGAGUGGAUAUUCCCGUACCGACCAUGGACCGGCAAAACCGAGACGGUGAGUACUAACCUCCGCCUCGUGGUGGUUCCUUCCUUCGGGUUGGUAUCGCCGCGUGGCGUUGGGACUGUAGCCGCAGUAGGUCAGCGCAGGGGUGACACGGAAUGGGAGCCGGCCGCGGAGGUGGUUUUCCGUGGUCAAGCACGCAGCCAGUCAUGUAGGCAAAUCCGCAUGGCGCGCAUGGCGAGGUGUGAUGAUGGGAGCCGUUAUGGCUCGAUAUCCGGUUGUCCAGGCCGUCGAGAAAAGCCUCGGCGUGAGGGCCAUGGCCGCCCGUACCCCAAACCGACACUGGUGGUCAGGUAGAGAAUACCAAGGCGAUCGAGCGAAUCCUGGUCAAGGAACUCGGCAAAUCACUCCCGUGCCUUCGGUAUAAGGGAGACCCGCUGGGGUGAAGGACCUUGCGUCCGGAGCUUUGGUGGGUGGCACAGACCAGGGGGUAGCGACUGUUUACCAAAAACACAGGUGCAUGCGAAGGCGAAAGCCGCUGUAUAUGCACUGACGCCUGCCCGGUGCCGGAAGGUUAAGAGGAUCCGUCAAUCCCUUCGGGGACGAAGCGGUGAAUUCAAGCCCCGGUAAACGGCGGUGGUAACUAUAACCAUCCUAAGGUAGCGAAAUUCCUUGUCGGGUAAGUUCCGACCUGCACGAAUGGCGUAACGACUUCCCCACUGUCUCGACCAGGAGCUCGGCGAAAUUGCAGUACGAGUAAAGAUGCUCGUUAAGCGCAGAAGGACGAAAAGACCCCGGGACCUUUACUAUACCUUGGUAUUGGCGUUAGGCGCGGAUUGUGUAGCAUAGGCGGGAGGCUUCGAAGCGGGUGCGCCAGCAUUCGUGGAGCCGCAAGGUGAAAUACCGCUCUGUUCUCGUUUGACGUCUAACCUCGACAAGUCAUCCUUGUCAGGGACAGUGCCUGGCGGGUAGUUCAACUGGGGCGGUUGCCUCCCAAAGAGUAACGGAGGCGCUCAAAGGUCCGCUCAGCCCGGUUGGCAAUCGGGUGUCGAGUGUAAUCGCACAAGCGGGCUUGACUGCGAGGACGACGGUCCGAGCAGGGACGAAAGUCGGAGAUAGUGAUCCGGUGCCGGCGCACGGGCGCGGCAUCGCUCAACGGAUAAAAGGUACCCCGGGGAUAACAGGCUGAUCAUUCCCAAGAGUCCAUAUCGACGGGAUGGUUUGGCACCUCGAUGUCGGCUCGUCGCAUCCUGGGGCUGGAGCAGGUCCCAAGGGUUCGGCUGUUCGCCGAUUAAAGCGGCACGCGAGCUGGGUUCAGAACGUCGUGAGACAGUUUGGUCUCUAUCCUCUGCGCUCGUUGGAAUCCUGAGGAGGCCUGCCCAUAGUACGAGAGGACCUGGGUGGACGAACCUCUGGUAUGCCGGUUGUCGCGCCAGCGGCACGGCCGGUUGGCUACGUUCGGGAGGGAUAACCGCUGAAAGCAUCUAAGCGGGAAGCCUGCUCCAAGAUUAGGAUUCCGUACGGUCUUGAACCGUUGUAGCCCGCAUGUUGAACACGUGUUUGAUAGGCCGGAGGUGGAAGCCCCGUGAGGGGUGGAGCCGACCGGUACUAACGGGCGACGGCGACAC
rnacentral:rRNA from 1 species